rnacentral:rRNA from 1 species
AUGAAAGGCCUCGUGAAAGGGAGAUUUUUGCCCGCUGAUUAUGACCAGAUCCUAUUUAUCCAAUUUCAAAAUUGUGCUCAAGGAAAUAGGAAUGUUUCAGAUUACACGGAGGAGUUUCUAAGGCUACAAGUGAGGUGCAACCUUGCUGAAACUGAAGAGCAACAAGUUGCAAGGUACAUCAAUGGUCUCAAUGAUGCUAUUCAAGAUCGAUUGAUGAUGCAACAAAUCUGGUCUGUUGAUCAAGCACAAACUCUAGCCUUAAAGGCCGAGAGGUUUGUGAGGAUGAGAAAGACAACUAAGGCUCCAUAUCCUCCAUAUCCUCAUACCGAAGGCUCAUCUAGGAGCCAACCUAAUAGAGUGGAAGAAAAGACCACUCCACCAAAGACAAAACAGCCCAUCCCGAAGCAAACUAGAGGCAAGGGUAAGGCAAAUGAAGGCCCAAAGUGCUAUAAAUGUGGUAAAGAGGGACACAUAUCCAGCGGCUGCCCACUAAGGAAAUUUGUUAACACGACUAUCCAUGAUGGUGAAAGCGAUGAGGAAGAAUAUGAAUCUGAAGAUGUAGACGGACAAGAGGUUUGUCAAGAAGAAGGUGAAGAGGUGGUAUGUGUGAUCCAGCGUGUCCUAUGUUCCACACCACAACUCGAUGACACACAACGGAAGAAAAUAUUUGAGAGCAAAUGCACGGUGAAUGGCAAGGUAUGCAAACUAGUGAUUGAUAGUUGCAGCUGCGAGAAUCUUAUCUCCCAGAAGUUGGUGGACCAUUUAAAGCUUGAAACCCAUGAUCAUCCAAAUCCCUACACUAUUGGAUGGAUCAAGAAAGGAGUGAAUAUGAGGAUCACCAAACAAUGCAACCUGCCACUUUCUUUGGGUAAGCAUUAUCGCUCAAAUGUGUUGUGUGAUGUGGUUGACAUGGAUGCCAGCCAUGUUCUUCUUGGGAGGCCUUGGCAAUGUGAUGUGGAUACUACACACAAGGGCAAGGAAAAUUCUUACUCUUUCAUUUGGAACAAGAGAAGGAUCAUUAUCUUACCAAACAAACCCGAAGGUAAUACCUCUAAGGAGGAGGGGAAAACUAUGUUAACUAUCUCCCAUACCUCUCAUGAGUUUAUGGAAGACUUGAAGGAGGCAGAUUUGUGUGCUGCACUUGUUGUAAAGGGAGAAGAGCACCUGACUGUUGAAAUUCCAGCAAAGGUACGUGGUUUAUUGGCAGAAUUUCAGAACAUACUUGGGGGGCCACAUGGCUUGCCACCGAUGAGAGGAAUUCAACAUAGAAUUGACUUAAUUCCGGGAGCAAGUCUUCCUAAUCUUCCACACUAUCGAAUGAGCCCAAAGGAGCAUGGUAUAUUGAAGGAGAAAGUGGAGGAAUUGUUGCAAAAAGGGGCACAUUCGAGAAAGUAUUAG